rnacentral:rRNA from 1 species
AAUAGAUACCCUGGUAGUCCACGCCGUAAACGAUGAGUGCUAAGUGUUAGAGGGUUUCCGCCCUUUAGUGCUGCAGCUAACGCAUUAAGCACUCCGCCUGGGGAGUACGGCCGCAAGGCUGAAACUCAAAGGAAUUGACGGGGGCCCGCACAAGCGGUGGAGCAUGUGGCUUAAUUCGAAGCAACGCGAAGAACCUUACCAGGUCUUGACAUCCUCUGCCAACCCUAGAGAUAGGGCGUUCCCCUUCGGGGGACAGAGUGACAGGUGGUGCAUGGUUGUCGUCAGCUCGUGUCGUGAGAUGUUGGGUUAAGUCCCGCAACGAGCGCAACCCUUGAUCUUAGUUGCCAGCAUUCAGUUGGGCACUCUAAGGUGACUGCCGGUGACAAACCGGAGGAAGGUGGGGAUGACGUCAAAUCAUCAUGCCCCUUAUGACCUGGGCUACACACGUGCUACAAUGGAUGGUACAAAGAGCUGCGAACCCGCGAGGGUAAGCGAAUCUCAUAAAGCCAUUCUCAGUUCGGAUUGGUA